rnacentral:sRNA from 1 species
CAUGCUCAAAAGCUGUGGGCAAGAGCUUAGCAAUAAGUGGCGAACCCAGAGUUUCCCAUCUCAAGCUGUCAAAAUAAGACUUCACCCGCAGAAUCGGAAUCACCUGUAUGGUUAGAGAAGGAACUCCUGGGCUUAAGAACCCUGAGCCGGGACCCUCUGCUGAGCAGAAUCCUGCCUUGGUGCCACCGUUGUUAGACAUCUUACCUCAGCAUAGACGGCAACCUCGAGAGGAGACGCAUGGCUUAAUGUGUGUCUCCAGCUGUCAAAUGACCUACAAAGAAGUUUGAUCAUCAACAACAAAUGUGCAUCCGCUCAGGAGAAGACCCUUACCUCAAACACACAGCGGGAUGGCUGCAGUCCAUGAACUUUGAGUAUGAUGAAAGUCUACUCUCCACACCACCACCAAGACGGGCAGCAGCCAGCCCGUCUUUCCUCAGAUCUGCCUCCGCUUACAGAUUCCUGACUUGCAAACCGAAAAGAAGAAUCUCACGCACCAUUUCUCUGCCAGCUGAGUUCCUGUCCUGGGAUUGAACUUAGCUGUCGCGCUUGAGAGAUGGCGUUUUUACCAGGUAAGCCAUCUCCCUGGCCCCUUUCAGUGCCCUUUAUGUUCAAGAAUAAGAAGUCUGCAUCUGAAGAACGUGAAGGUGGAUCGACGAUAUCAGCAACGUUAAUUGGCUCGUUUCUCAGUGGCUACAAAGAAAGGAGCUUGUGAUUAAUAAGGCUUUGAUUUUUCCAGUGUAUUUUAUUUUGAUGUUUUAAGACGGAGCUUCACCGUGUUGCCCAGGCUGCUCCAUCUGCCUCGGUCUUCCAAGUAGCUGGGAUUACAGGCAUGUACCGCCAUGUACCGCCAUGUUGGGCACGGUGUACUUCUAUUUGGUAGUUGAUACAAUGGCAUUAUGCAACACUGACCAGACUUGGUUAGGUCACCUCUUGCAGGGGGGAAUUCUGUGGUUUCCUUUCCCUACUAGACCUGUGUCAUUGAGCAAACUAAAUUAGCAGAGCAAUUCACCCCUACAUAAGCCAUUAAUGAAGUGCCUCCAUUAUACAUGCAUAUUCAUUAGCUCGCCCCUGAGGAAUUCUCCAUCAAUCCCAGCACACAAAGCCCUGACAAGUCAAGACAGAUGAAGCUUCUCCGUGGUCGAGGAGGUGCUAGCUUCCUGUAUUGUAACACGGAGUGAGUGUCCGUGGCGCUUUCCUUUGUAAAGCUGAGAGAUACUGUGGCUCCCACACAAUGGGAGAGGAUCACAGAGCUCACAGGACAACCAGGGCUCGUCUGGUAUGGCACACAGAAUGGGAGCGGUGGCUCUUUUUCAUCUUCCCGUAAACUUCCUGGGAAAUGAUCUUUCUGAAAGCUUCGUUAAGAAGGAAAUGGCCAUCUAGGUUUUAUUUCGGUCCAUAUUCUAAGAAUUUUGAAACAUGAAACGUGUUCCAGGAAAAAUGAAACAACAUUCAGGUUCAUUUCCUAAAGAUUUCCUAGUCAGGGCCUUAUGGUAACUACCUAAUCCCUUCCGAGGACAGCGUCCCAAUGUCCUAGUCACCUCUCCAAUACUCCAUCUUUCUUAAAGGUCCCCACCACUAUACAGUCUACAACCAUUGGAGGACAAAGUAUAUCCAAGUCAGAGCAUUGGUAUUAAGUAAAUACUUCCUUAAUACAACCACUUAGGUAUCCUCCCCCUUACCCCGCCCUGUGUGUGUGUGCGUGUGUUUCUCUGUCUUUCCCCUACUCAUAAGUUGGGGCACAGUCUGUUGCUUCAACUUUCUAACUAAAUCCAGUAUGCUAGGAUGAGAAAGAAGAGAAGAGAAACAAUAAAAAAAAAAAUCAAAACACACUCCACCCCACACCUGGAAACUAUGCCCCUCCCCCAAGCAUUUUGCAGAAGACUGAAGGUGACCAGAAAUGGUGGCUUCGGACUGAGAAAUCCCUCGGAAAGGAGGAAUAUCCCUUUGGCCUCACAGUGCUUGCAAGGCUGCAGUUACAGAGCAAGUAAUGUCCUUAAACUCCCCAGGAAUUGAAGAUCCUUAGUACACUGAUGACAAAUUUAUUUGAGAAAGAUUGUCAUCUGAGGAGGCUGACUUUCGUCCCCAAAUUUGGGGUUUUAAGAAGCAAAUUAGAGCCAGGUUCUUGGCAACAGAGCUGAUAAAAUAUUUAAUACAGAAGAAAUUAAAAAUAAAUAAACAAGUUUAAAAUGAAUGUAAAUUUUAAAAAAAAACAUGAAGUAUUUGACUAUAAAAUAUUUUGUUGGAGUUUUUAACGGGCACCAGAAUUUGACUAUGUUCAUCCUGCCACUUACAAGAAAUAAAAAAGGAAGGCAGAAAUCACGGAGAGUCACAGGAUGACUCCUCGCUUGUCAUUAACAUCUUUUACGAUGGCAGUAGGAAAGAGUCGCUGACCCAGCUAGCCUGGAUUAAUACUGAGCUCUAUGCCGAAGAGAAUCAACCCACAAAAUCCUUUAACUGUAGGCCGUGGGCAGAGGGCAUUUCCCUGAAAGGAAGGACACACAAAGGCUCACCUGAGCACAUGCUUGGAACGACCCAUUAGCUCAUUUGAAUCUUCAAUCUGUAGAUCUGGAGGGCUGGAGGGCAUCGAGGACCAUUUUGAUACAGGCAGAGGCAGAAUUUGCUCUGUUUCAAUUUUAGAAUCUGUGCUAAAAUGGGCAAUUUAGAAUAAUAAAGCUAUCAUGUGCUUCUUGGUC